rnacentral:rRNA from 1 species
UACGUAGGUGGCAAGCGUUGUCCGGAAUUAUUGGGCGUAAAGCGCGCGCAGGCGGUCCUUUAAGUCUGAUGUGAAAGCCCACGGCUCAACCGUGGAGGGUCAUUGGAAACUGGGGGACUUGAGUGCAGAAGAGGAGAGUGGAAUUCCACGUGUAGCGGUGAAAUGCUUAGAGAUGUGGAGGAACACCAGUGGCGAAGGCGACUCUCUGGUCUGUAACUGACGCUGAGGCGCGAAAGCGUGGGGAGCAAACAGG